CACAGCUUGGUUUGCCUGUGUAGGACAUCAGAGAGAAAGACAGAUACUUAGCUGUAGGUUUAUGACUUUUCCAGUAGUAGCAGUACCUCUGCUGGUGAUGCUCUCCUGGUUGACCUCACUAAGGUGAGCGACGCUGCCCUGGUUGGAUCCGGCUCCCAUACUCUCCCCAUCCAUCGAGUUCCAGCCAAACAGAGUCGCCUCAGAGAUCGCAAACUGCUGCAUGAUGCCUAAAGAGCGAGUUGGCAUGUGCCGCGACCCCCGGAGGCCCUGCAGACGGUGUGCCCCAGCUCUGCCACUCGAUCAUGUGGGCAACACGACCCUGAGCCAUGGCAGUGGGCUUGGUCACUUUGUCCUUCAUGGAGCGACUCACACCUACAGCAGUGUGUCAGAUGAUUCUCUGGCCUGCAAGCAGUGCAGAAAACAAGUCAAAGAAGAAGAUGAAAGGAAUUAUUGUUUAUUAUUUAAAACAAGUCACAAAGGAAGAGCUGCUCUGGAUGCAAAAAUUGUUUAGUUAGUUGGGUUUAGCCAAAGUGGAGCCUUUGUCAUCCUACUGGCUGCUAUGGUUUAAGGCAUACUAUCAAAAGACCCCUGGCCAGAUCCAGGGAUCUUUUGAUAGUUUUCUUUUGACCUUUGUUUUCUGUCUCUCUCCCCUCAUAUCCUGUUACAGUGUAGGUGUGAAAUGUUGAAGUGAGUAAGAAUUGAGUUUUUUUUGUGGGGGUGACAACCCCCGAAUGAUGUUGGACAUGUUAGAAAUAUAAUUCAAAAUAUGACUGAUAAUUAAUUAAUUGUGGCCAAGGCCUUUCUGAUGUUGUAAAUUCAGCUAGUUAAUGAUUGGCUUCUUAAUUAGUAGGUCUUGAUAACAGUAGACUAGCGUGACUAGAGCUUAAAUGGUAAACUAACCCAGAUUUUAAUGCCCAGGUUGUGAUAUUAGCAUCCUCCUCACUUUAAAAAUGCCCGAAUUUUGAUUAUUCAUGCGCCUUUUUAAUAUACACAAAUACAUUGAUUCUAUUGAUUGAUGCCUUUUAUGGUUUAAUAAUGUUUGAUGCUUAUGUCUGAUUGCUCCAUUGUUUUUUAUUGUUGCUAUUUUUUAUCAUUGUAAAGCUCUUUGUGACUCGCUCUGUGAAAGGUGCUAUAUUGAAUAAAUUUUACUUACU